rnacentral:tRNA from 1 species
GUUCCUGUAGUUAAAUUUA